AGUGAACGCUGGCGGUAGGCCUAACACAUGCAAGUCGAACGGCAGCACAGUAAGAGCUUGCUCUUACGGGUGGCGAGUGGCGGACGGGUGAGGAAUACAUCGGAAUCUACCUUUUCGUGGGGGAUAACGUAGGGAAACUUACGCUAAUACCGCAUACGACCUACGUGUGAAAGCAGGGGAUCUUCGGACCUUGCGCGAUUGAAUGAGCCGAUGUCGGAUUAGCUAGUUGGCGGGGUAAAGGCCCACCAAGGCGACGAUCCGUAGCUGGUCUGAGAGGAUGAUGAGCCACAGUGGAACUGAGACACGGUCCAGACUCCUACGGGAGGCAGCAGUGGGGAAGAUUGGACAAUGGGCGCAAGCCUGAUCCAGCCAUACCGCGUGGGUGAAGAAGGCCUUCGGGUUGUAAAGCCCUUUUGUUGGGAAAGAAAAGCAGCAGGUUAAUACCCCGCUGUUCUGACGGUACCCAAAGAAUAAGCACCGGCUAACUUCGUG
rnacentral:rRNA from 1 species